UCCCUUAUCAUUCACCAGCAUCUCUAAAACAUUUAUCAAACAUGCUGAAAAUGGAAGUUGUAAUACCUCCACCCACCAUGGAUUUCGACUUCAACAAUGCCAAGCCUAUGCCAUUCAUGAGCGCUCCUUCUACUCCUAAACGUUUUGGCGAUUUCUCUCUUAGUGCUCCCACUAGUCCUUCACGCGUCGCCGAGUUCUAUGGUCAUUUUGAUUACUACGCUUGGGAUGCUAACUCUAUACCUGUAUCGCCCAAGGCAGUGCCCAACAAUAGUGUAGAUAAUUUCGCUUUUAAUUUCAGGUCUGAACUGCAGGAGAGUUCUCUCUCUGCAGAAGAACUUUUUGAUGGUGGCAAAAUCCGGCCCUUGAAG
rnacentral:misc_RNA from 1 species